AAGGUCCAAAUUUGUCAAAGUUGGAACUGUUAUGAGCUGAGUAAAACUGUCAAUGACAGUGUACUCUUGAAGCUCGAGUUCUCCUUUGUUCUUGCCAUCAUGUUCUCCUUCUACUUGAGGCUCCGUAGUACCUUGUUUUUUAUUUUUUUUUGCUGCAACGAAAUUGCAAUUAAUUAGUAGAGGAUGAGCAGCACUGUCAACAUUUAGAUUGCAAUGACAACAUAUAGAAAUGUUCAGAUUGCAAUUAAAUCAUACUUUUGCCACCCAUAAUAUUGCCAAGCCUCAUCCAGAUUUCUGAAUCGCAAACCAAUUUCAGGUAUCUUCUUUAUCAGAUUCUGCCAUCCCUUACACAACCCAGAUUUCAAACUUCCACAACUCAGAUUCUGAACUUUCACAACUCGCAAAACCCAGGCAUCAACUAGUUCUGUUUUGCUACGGUACACCUAUUACCUCUUAGGAGGUAAGAGUUUGAAUAAACCACAACCGUUGAAUUUUAGAACAUAUUAGACAAUUAAAUAACCAAAUAAUCAAGGAAAAAUAUUGGCU
rnacentral:lncRNA from 1 species